AACCUAGCACACCUGCGGUGUGUACCUGCGGAGGGAUCAUUACUGAGUGAGGGCCUUCGGGCUCGACCUCCAACCCUUUGUGAACACAACUUGUUGCUUCGGGGGCGACCCUGCCGUUUCGACGGCGAGCGCCCCCGGAGGCCUUCAAACACUGCAUCUUUGCGUCGGAGUUUAAGUAAAUUAAACAAAACUUUUAACAACGGAUCU
rnacentral:misc_RNA from 1 species